ACCCCCCCCCCCCAAAAAAUACACUUAAUUAUCUCCCCUCAUUUAGAAAUUACAAUUUAUUAAGACUGUUGUUCAAUCUAAAGUUUGGCGAGGAUGUCUUGUGUUGGACACACCCCACAAUCUUACAAUAAUAUAUCACCACCUUGCGUCUCGUUUUAUUUUUUUUUACACAUUUUUUGUUUCAUAAUAUCUUUCAAUAUUUUAUCUUAAUGGGAGAAAAGCCAGGAGGCAGAUGAUUAUCUCCCUUGUGAUACAUUGACGACAUUUAUUGCUGAAUAACUGCUGUUGUUUGAUGUUCUUGUUUUGUGAGAUGGGGCUGCUCGAUCAAUAGUCUAUAUAACAGUUACACUUAGAUUCUAGGUUUUAAACCUAGUGGGAUUCACUGCUGUGUGGGGCAUUAUUUUCUCCAGUUUGUUUGAUGUUGUCAAAACUGUGCCUGCUUAAUUGAUUGGGAAUAAACUGGUUCUUCAAAUCUUUGUUUUGAGUUGGAGUUAAGGAACUUGAAAUUUCCUAACAUGUGUGUUUUAUUAGUACACGCCUUAUGAUUUGACCCCUGACACGACACACACGCCACCCCUAACACAUUUUGUACACAACACACUUCACCUUAUGAUCCAUCACCCUUGACCUCUGACACAUGUGUACACUACGCACGCCACCUUAU